AGAGUUUGAUCAUGGCUCAGAACGAACGCUGGCGGCAUGCCUAACACAUGCAAGUCGAACGGUGUCUUCGGACACAGUGGCGGACGGGUGAGUAACGCGUGAGAAUCUGGCUUCAGGUCUGGGACAACCACUGGAAACGGUGGCUAAUACCGGAUGUGCCGUAAGGUGAAAGGUUAACUGCCUGAAGAUGAGCUCGCGUCUGAUUAGCUAGUAGGUGUGGUAAAGGCGCACCUAGGCGACGAUCAGUAGCUGGUCUGAGAGGACGAUCAGCCACACUGGGACUGAGACACGGCCCAGACUCCUACGGGAGGCAGCAGUGGGGAAUUUUCCGCAAUGGGCGAAAGCCUGACGGAGCAAUACCGCGUGAGGGAGGAAGGCUCUUGGGUCGUAAACCUCUUUUCUCAGGGAAGAACACAAUGACGGUACCUGAGGAAUAAGCAUCGGCUAACUCCGUGCCAGCAGCCGCGGUAAUACGGAGGAUGCAAGCGUUAUCCGGAAUGAUUGGGCGUAAAGCGUCCGCAGGUGGCAGUGUAAGUCUGCUGUCAAAGGUCAGGGCUUAACCCUGAACAGGCAGUGGAAACUACACAGCUAGAGUGCGGUGGGGGCAGAGGGAAUUCCCAGUGUAGCGGUGAAAUGCGUAGAGAUUGGGAAGAACACCGGUGGCGAAGGCGGCUCGCUGGGCCACACCUGACGCUGAGACGCGAAAGCUAGGGGAGCGAACAGGAUUAGAUACCCCCGUAGUCC
rnacentral:rRNA from 1 species